AUUUCAUCGGUAUGGGAUGGGGUCGCGUCCUAUCAGGUAGUCGGCGGGGUAACGGCCCACCGAGCCUACGACGGGUAGCCGGCCUGAGAGGGCGACCGGCCACAUUGGGACUGAGAUACGGCCCAGACUCCUACGGGAGGCAGCAGUGGGGAAUAUUGCACAAUGGGCGCAAGCCUGAUGCAGCGACGCCGCGUGCGGGAUGACGGCCUUCGGGUUGUAAACCGCUUUUGAUCGGGAGCAAGCCUUCGGGUGAGUGUACCUUUCGAAUAAGCACCGGCUAACUACGUGCCAGCAGCCGCGGUAAUACGUAGGGUGCAAGCGUUAUCCGGAAUUAUUGGGCGUAAAGGGCUCGUAGGCGGUUCGUCGCGUCCGGUGUGAAAGUCCAUCGCUUAACGGUGGAUCCGCGCCGGGUACGGGCGGGCUUGAGUGCGGUAGGGGAGACUGGAAUUCCCGGUGUAACGGUGGAAUGUGUAGAUAUCGGGAAGAACACC
rnacentral:rRNA from 1 species